CGGCGCUUCGGGAGCGCGCGGGAGCGGCAAAUCCUGUCAGGCUGGGCGCGGGAGAUCCGCAGCGGCCUCGGACGGCGGGCUUUCCUAUUUUUGGGGAAAUUGCCAAAUGGAACUAUGGACCCUUUGGACAAAAUUAAGAUCCUCCUGAAAAAAUGGGAGACUUCUUUUUUUCAGGAGCACCAGAGGAAGCCCAACAAGGCAGAUGUUCUGGAUGCUCCUGAAAAAAUAAAAAGUAAGCAUGAUUCUUCCCUACAGCGCAUUACAAUACUGGGUCUGGAGGUACACUAGUCGAUGUGAUAGAGCAUCAACUUUGAUCAGUAGAAAGUGAUAGUUAUUUGCAAACAUUUAAAGUGCUAUGUUUUGAUCAUUUUCUUAUCAGAAUGGAAGGAAGACUAGAAAUCUGCAUCUAAAACUUUAAACUAGGUGCUAAUUGCAAUGAUUUUAUAACAAAAAUAAAUGGCUCCUCAUUUUGAUUGCAUUGCUAUAUGUUUUGUCAAAAGUGACUUCUUACUGAAGAAGACUAUCAAGUGAUUAAUUAACAUAUUGUUUAUAACAACAACAACAAUAAUAAUAAUAAAGUUGGAAG